rnacentral:rRNA from 1 species
GAUGAACGCUAGCGGCAGGCCUAAUACAUGCAAGUCGAACGGUAAGGCCCUUUCGGGGGUACACGAGUGGCGGACGGGUGCGUAACGCGUAUGCAACAUGCCUUCCAGCGGGGGAGUAUACCAGGGAAACUUGGCGCAAUACCCCAUAGAAUUACGGGACCGCAUGGUCUUGUGAUUAAAACUACCGGUGCUGGGAGAUUGGCAUGCGUGACAUUAGCUAGUUGGCGGGGUAACGGCCCACCAAGGCGACGAUGUCUAGCUGGUCUGAGAGGAUGAUCAGCCACACUGGGACUGAGACACGGCCCAGACUCCUACGGGAGGCAGCAGUAGGGAAUAUUGGACAAUGGGGGGAACCCGUCGAUCCAGCCAUGCCGCGUGAGGGAAGAAGGUCC